AGUGAACGCUGGCGGUAGGCCUAACACAUGCAAGUCGAACGGCAGCACAGUAAGAGCUUGCUCUUACGGGUGGCGAGUGGCGGACGGGUGAGGAAUACAUCGGAAUCUACUUUUUCGUGGGGGAUAACGUAGGGAAACUUACGCUAAUACCGCAUACGACCUACGGGUGAAAGCAGGGGAUCUUCGGACCUUGCGCGAUUGAAUGAGCCGAUGUCGGAUUAGCUAGUUGGCGGGGUAAAGGCCCACCAAGGCGACGAUCCGUAGCUGGUCUGAGGGGAUGAUCGGCAACACUGGACCUGAGACACGGUCCAGACUCCUACGGGAGGCAGCAGUGGGGAAUAUUGGACAAUGGGCGCAAGCCUGAUCCAGCCAUACCGCGUGGGUGAAGAAGGCCUUCGGGUGGUAAAGCCCUUUUGUUGGGAAAGAAAAGCAGCAGGUUAAUACCCCGCUGUUCUGACGGUACCCAAAGAAUAAGCACCGGCUAACUUCGU
rnacentral:rRNA from 1 species